rnacentral:rRNA from 1 species
GACGUAGGGGGCGAGCGUUGUCCGGAUUCAUUGGGCGUAAAGGGUGCGUAGGUGGCGCUGUAAGUCGGGUGUGAAAUUUCGGGGCUUAACUCCGAAACUGCAUUCGAUACUGCGGUGCUUGAGGACUGGAGAGGAGACUGGAAUUCAUGGUGUAGCAGUGAAAUGCGUAGAGAUCAUGAGGAAGACCAGUGGCGAAGGCGGGUCUCUGGACAGUUCCUGACACUGAGGCACGAAGGCCAGGGGAGCAAACGGG